rnacentral:rRNA from 1 species
GGGUAGUUUGACUGGGGCGGUCUCCUCCCAAAGAGUAACGGAGGAGCACGAAGGUUGGCUAAGCAUGGUCGGACAUCAUGCGGUUAGUGCAAAGGCAUAAGCCAGCUUGACUGCGAGAGUGACGGCUCGAGCAGGUACGAAAGUAGGUCUUAGUGAUCCGGUGGUUCUGAAUGGAAGGGCCAUCGCUCAACGGAUAAAAGGUACUCCGGGGAUAACAGGCUGAUACCGCCCAAGAGUUCAUAUCGACGGCGGUGUUUGGCACCUCGAUGUCGGCUCAUCACAUCCUGGGGCUGAAGUAGGUCCCAAGGGUACGGCUGUUCGCCGUUUAAAGUGGUACGCGAGCUGGGUUUAGAACGUCGUGAGACAGUUCGGUCCCUAUCUGCCGUGGGCGUUGGAAGAUUGAAAGGGGCUGCUCCUAGUACGAGAGGACCGGAGUGGACGCACCACUGGUGUUCGGGUUGUCAUGCCAAUGGCAUU